GAUGAACGCUGGCGGCGUGCUUAACACAUGCAAGUCGAACGAUGAAGCCCAGCUUGCUGGGUGGAUUAGUGGCGAACGGGUGAGUAACACGUGAGUAACCUGCCCUUAACUCUGGGAUAAGCCUGGGAAACUGGGUCUAAUACCGGAUAGGAGCGCCUACCGCAUGGUGGGUGUUGGAAAGAUUUAUCGGUUUUGGAUGGACUCGCGGCCUAUCAGCUUGUUGGUGAGGUAAUGGCUCACCAAGGCGACGACGGGUAGCCGGCCUGAGAGGGUGACCGGCCACACUGGGACUGAGACACGGCCCAGACUACUACGGGAGGCAGCAGUGGGGAAUAUUGCACAAUGGGCGAAAGCCUGAUGCAGCGAAGCCGCGUGAGGGAUGACGGCCUUCGGGUUGUAAACCUCUUUCAGUAGGGAAGAAGCGAAAGUGACGGUACCUGCAGAAGAAGCACCGGCUAACUACGUG
rnacentral:rRNA from 1 species